rnacentral:tRNA from 1 species
ACCUGGCUGGCUUGGUCGGUAGAGCAUGUGACUCUUGAUUUCAGGGUUGUGAGUUCAAGCCCCACACUGGGUG